ensembl:lncRNA
UAACAUUUCAGUUUAAUGUUUGUUUUAAACAGGAAUUUAUUAACAUUAUUACAUCGGAAUGAGACGUCUUAUGAACACAUGGCACAAUAACGUUAUUUACAGUUCGUCAGGAAGCCAAACACACACGGACACAGAGGACGAGGAGGAGGAGGGCGGAGCAGGGGUCUGGGUAGUGAAUACGGCGACCGACGCCCUGAAAACAACCCCUGAAUGAGCUCCAGAUAACACCGACCAAUCAGAGCGAGACAGCUCGCGCUCGUGUUCAAGGUUAUUCGGGGGAAAAGUAAAAAAAUUAAAAUUAAAAAAACAAACAAAAAAAAAACAGAAAAGAAAAGCACUGCACGUUUUUAUUCCCCCGAGGAAAUGAAAAGAAAAGGACGAAGAAGCUGCUGCUCGAUCGUUUAAACGAUACAGCGAGUCCAUCAGGGGUCGUCAGCACAGUGCUAGGCUACACGGUCCGAAAAUACAAACACGACGUCUACAAUCGAUCAAACGAUGUCCAGUUUCUCCCCCUCCCUGGCUCCGGCUUCUUUUUUUUUUUAAAUAAACUAAUAAAAAAAUUCCAAGUUUUAUUUUAUCUUCACCAGCUUAUAGUGCUUUUAAAGCUAAUUGCACAUAAAGAUUUUAGUUGUGGUAGUACAGAUACAUGUGGUGUGUGUGUGUGUGUGUGUGUUUAUGGGAGUUUUAAACACAUCUUUAGAUUGAGUGUCUUUUCUUUUUUCUUGGCAGCAUGUUUGACGACUCUCGACAUCGGAGAGUGUGCGUGUGAGAGUGUGCGUGUGAGAGUGUACGUGUGAGAGUGUGCGUGUGAGAGUGUGCGCGUGUGAGAGUGUGUGAGAGAGAGCAUGUCAGUGUGCAGUCAGGUAGUCCUGUGUGGAGUCGGAGGCGAAGGAGUCGGCGUCGUCGUUGUCCGAGUCGUCGGUGGAGUCGUCGGCGGCGGGCUCUCCGCUCAGAGCGAUGCGAGCGUAGUCGUCCGUGUCGAUGGAUUGCAGAAGUGUAUGGCGUACUUCAGUUUCUCCUCCAGCACCAGUUUGCACGAGUAACGAGGCAGCUUGAGCAGGAAGAAGCACGUGUAUGACUCCGGCAGGAAGUGGUCUG